rnacentral:rRNA from 1 species
UUCCGGUUGAUCCUGCCGGACCUGACUGCUAUCGGAUUGAUACUAAGCCAUGCGAGUCAUUGUAGCAAUACAAGGCAUACGGCUCAGUAACGCGUAGUCAACCUAACCUAUGGACGGGAAUAACCUCGGGAAACUGAGAAUAAUGCCCGAUAGAACAUUAUGCCUGGAAUGGUUUAUGUUCCAAAUGAUUUAUCGCCGUAGGAUGGGGCUGCGGCCUAUCAGUUUGUUGGUGAGGUAAUGGCCCACCAAGACUAUUACAGGUACGGGCUCUGAGAGGAGUAGCCCGGAGAUGGGUACUGAGACACGGACCCAGGCCCUAUGGGGCGCAGCAGGCGAGAAAACUUUGCAAUGUGCGAAAGCACGACAAGGUUAAUCCGAGUGGUUCCUGCUAAAGGAACCUUUUGUUAGUCCUAGAACCACUAACGAAUAAGGGGUGGGCAAGUCUGGUGUCAGCCGCCGCGGUAAAACCAGCACCUCAAGUGGUCAGGAUGAUUAUUGGGCCUAAAGCAUCCGUAGCCUGCUCUGUAAGUUUUCGGUUAAAUCUGUACGCUUAACGUACAGGCUGCCGGGAAUACUGCAAAGCUAGGGAGUGGGAGAGGUAGACGGUACUCGGUAGGAAGUGGUAAAAUGCUUUGAUCUAUCGAUGACCACCUGUGGCGAAGGCGGUCUACCANAACACGUCCGACGGUGAGGGAUGAAAGCUGGGGGAGCAAACCGGAUUAGAUACCCGGGUAGUCCCAGUUGUAAACUAUGCAAACUCAGUGAUGCAUUGGCUUGUGGCCAAUGCAGUGCUGCAGGGAAGCCGUUAAGUUUGCCGCCUGGGAAGUACGUACGCAAGUAUGAAACUUAAAGGAAUUGGCGGGGGAGCACCACAAGGGGUGAAGCCUGCGGUUCAAUUGGUAAUU